rnacentral:rRNA from 1 species
UACGUAGGUGACCAGCGUUGUCCGGAUUUACUGGGCGUAAAGAGCGCGCAGGCGGUCGUUCAAGUCGAGUGUGAAAGCCCCCGGCUCAACUGGGGAGGGUCACUCGAUACUGAUCGACUGGAAGGCAGGAGAGGGAAGCGGAAUUCCCGGUGUAGUGGUGAAAUGCGUAGAUAUCGGGAGGAACACCAAUUGCGAAGGCAGCUCGCUGGAACGUAACUGACGCUGAGACGCGAAAGCGUGGGGAGCAAACAGG